CUGAAGCGAAGGAGGAGAUUAGAGGAUGUAGCUGGCUGUAUUAUACGCUGAUUGACAAUGAACAGACACGCUUGGCGUUACGAGUUGUUCUCUGCCUGUUGAAGGCGUAAGUGAAUCAGAGACGCCAUGAGAAGGUGCAGAGAGAUUCUUCGACUCUACUCUUCUCUUCGCUAUGGAACUGCGAAAUCACCAUCUUCUCCUUUUGAUUCGCCUGGGUUUAUUAUUCCUUUAAGCUAUUCUUUCUCCUCAAAUCCUGAUGGCAAUGACGACAAGAGGUCACCCAACUCUCAAAGGGAUUCGUUGCUUCUAGAAAAAUUUAGACUUAGAAAGCUCGAAGGUUCUUCUACAACUUCACAAGGUAGCCCCCAAGCAUCGGAGAAGGAAAUUGAAAAGGAUUUGAAGAAUGAGGAUGAAUCCUCUAAUGUAGUGACCGAUUUCAAGGUGCUGGGUUUGUGUAAGGAGCUCAUUGAGUUUUUGGAGAAACUAGGGCUGCUUAUUCCUACUGAGAUUCAAUGUGUGGGAAUUCCUGCUGUCUUGAAAGGCAAGAGUGUUUUGAUGAGUUCGGUGUCUGGGCCUGACAGAAUUUUGGCCUACUUAUUGCCUCUUAUUCAGCUUUUGAGGCAAGACACAAAGUUGUCCCAAUCAAAAUUGCGGCAUCCUCGGGCCAUUGUUCUCUGUGCCACAGAGGAGAAAGCUGAACUGUGCUUUAAUGCUGCAAAAUUUAUCAUCCAUCACACAGAAUUGAAAUCUGCUAAGGGUGAUUUACCAAAUAAUGAGAAGUCAGAUGCUUCAAUUGGCCUUGUAAUCGGACCUCCUUGUGAGAUUCUUCAGUACAUUGAAGAGGGAAUGGUUAUUCCUGAAGAAAUAAGAUAUUUGGUAGUGGAUGAUGCCGACUGCAUGUUUGAUAGUGGCAUCAGCCUUGAUUUUUGCAAGAUUCUCAGACACUUGCCAGAUUAUACUAAAGAAUCCACUGCCAAAGGGUUGCAAACUGUUUUGGUUACUUCAACAAUAACAGAGGUCUUGGGUGAAGAGUCUCCUGUUAUAAAGCGCCCGGAGAAUAAUCAUGCAGGACAUGUUUCCGCGAUGUUGUUGGAAAUGGAUCGCGCAGAAGUCUUUCAACUGACAGAAUCAUUGGAUGCUUUAAGGCAAAAAAUGACAGAGGCCAUGAAUUUUCUCAAAUGACAAAAAAAUCUUUAUACUCCUUCAGUCCUAAAUGUAACACUUAUUUUAUAGUAUAAUUUACAUUAUAAAAUGAGUUUUAUGUUUAAGAUUGAAGGAGUAAUACAUUUCUUUGUCAUAGCUAAAAAGAAAACAAAAUGGAAAAGAAAAAGAAAAAAAUAACGGAAAAGAGAGUCAAAUUAGAAUUUAUAAUUUUUCAUAUAGUAAAACCAUGUUUAGCUACGUGUGUUCUUCCCGUAUAUAUUCUUUCAUGUCAUUGAGCACAUUUUAGUGAUAAUUUAGUUUGCUGACUUUUAACAGACAGAUUUUUUUUUUUUUAAAAAAAAAACAGUUAGUGCGGAGACUGAUAUGCUAUGUUGCUGCUGCAAGUCUGUAACCUUAUGUGUGUGUGUGUGUAGAGACACAAGCACAUAUAAAAUAUUGGUGGUUCAGAACAAAUUUGUAAGUAUCCACUGGCGUAACUACAGCACUUGUGUUACUGCAGCACAGACGAUCGAAGUUUCAACUGCAAGUACAUGUUGGUUUGUGGCUCUGCGCAGUCUUAAGCUUGAUGGCUUGUAGAUUGCUUGUUAAACUAGUUUUAAGUAAAUAUAGAAUGUGGCCUUUAAUUUUAAUUUUACGUUUUAAUUUUAGACUUGUUCCUCCAUAUCAACCAAUUUCACAAAAUUUGUCAUUUGAAAGUUUGAAUUCGUAAGAAAACUUGUACUUCCUCCGCUUAAAA